GAUAAGGUCCCCCCUGAGUCUCCUUUUCUCCAGGCUGAACCCCCAAGCUCCCUCAGCUGCUCCUCAUCAGCCUUGUGCUCUAACCCCUUCCCCAUCUUAGUUGCACAGAGGGAUGUGAUCCUCAAAAUCCGGUAGCUGGGACAAAGUGUUGGAGUCUCACUGCCAGUGCACUAGAACAGGGAAACACAAUAUACCUUGUAAAGUGUGCAUGGGCAAGUGCUGCCAGAGAGUCUUGUCAGAAAUUGCACAGGUUUUGUAGACAAAUCAGGCAAGGAUGAAGCUGAAUUUAGGAAAACAAUAGCUAAAAAUAUUUUCUGCUUUGCUAUAAGCAACAAAAACCUUGGAAGUGAAUUGGUUAGUCUGCAGGAUCCUGCUGUUAAAUAUCAGCUUUCCCAGCUUCAAUGGGAAAUGCUUUGCCCCAUGGUAACCGGGAUACUGUAAUAUUGCCUUGCAUUUUUGUCUUUUCUAUGUCUGCGGAGCUGUUUCCUCCAUUUUUUCAGUUACUGCUGUCAUUUCUGGUGCCUUUUAAUAUGCCAAAGUAACUCCUAGCAGAAGCACCAGAGGCUGAGGGGAAAUUGGGCUUUCUCUGCCUGAGCCUUUUUGUGCAGGGUUUUCUGUUUGCUGAUUAUUAUCUGGAACAAGCAGAAUUCUGACAAACGAGGGGGGGGAGAAAGGGCGCUCACAUUGCUUGAGCCUUUGUACCUUCCCCAGGUUGUUUUCCUCUGCUUGCUGGGUUACAAAGAUACAAUCACGGUACUUUAAUACUCUUGCUUAGGAGCGAGGGAUUUCCAGCUCCCCAAGGUGGAUUUCACUGAACAGCUCCAAGCCUGAUGAUGUGGGAAGGCAGAGGCUGCAGGACAGGCUGUGCUGUGCAGCUUUUCUUGCUUUUGAUUAGAGCUCAUCGCGUGUUGAGGAUAACUUGCCGUAAGGGGUAACCAGCGCACGCUAAGGCAGUGCCAAACAGCCGAUUGCUCUAUUAUAAUAAGAAGACUUAAAACCUUCCUCCACAGUGGGUCACCCCGAGUGUGCUUUUAUCCCAGCCCAGGUGUCCCGUGGCUGUUUGGGUACAAGGGCCAUUGUUGUGGUUUAACCCCAGCUGGCAGCUAAGCCCUGCACAGCGCUCGCUCACUCCCCCCAGGUGGGAUGGGGGAAGAGUCAGAAGACUAAGAGUGUGAAAACUCGUGGGUUAAGAUGAAGACAGUUUAAUAGGUAAAGCAAAAGCCACACACACAGCAAAGCAGGGAAUUCAUUCACCACUUCCCAUGGGCGGGCAGGCGCUCAGCCAUCGCCAGGACAGCAGGGCUCCAGCACGUGUAGCGGUUACUUGGGAAGACAAACAUCAUCACUCAGAAUAUCCCUCUCCUUCCUCCUUCUUCCCCAGCUUUACAUGCUGAGCAUGACACCAUAUGGUGUGGGACAGCCCUUGGGUCAGCUGUCCCGGCUGUGUCCCCUCCCGACCCCUUGUGCCCCCCCAGCCUCCUCGCUGCUGGGGGGGUGAGGAGCAGAGAAGCCCUUGGCGCUCUGUAAGCGCUGCCCAGCAGUAACGAAAACAUCGGUGUGUUACCAGCGCUGCUUCCGCCUGACAGGCGGCUGCCAACUUUUGAAGGGCAGAUCGCUGCUGUUUUCUCCCCCCGCAUGCUUAGGCAUCUCAGACACCACCAGCCACAAACAGGGAGCCUGGAGCCCCGUCCUUCCCCACUCUGCGCUUGCUCCAGUCUCUUGCUGUUUUCUUUUUCCUGCCCUGCAUUGAUACUUCCUUCACACUUCUUCUGGUCCUCGAUCACCAGCAGCCAGGGCAUUGCAGCUGUCUAUAUUUUAACUUAAAGUGAGUGGCAUCUUUUCUCCUGGCAACAGGCUGCCUUGCUUUCUUCCCCUCUCCUUCGAUAAAAAGUGACAAGUGCUCCUUCACAGAGCAGCACAAUCAAAGGAGCCGCUCAAAGAGAGCUGACAGUAAGUUGUGUGCUGGCUGCAAGCUGUUUUACCGUGGGACCGCUUAAAUAGAGUUCACAUCCUUCCCAUCUCUCUCCCUCAUGUGACAAUGCCUUGCACCCUUUCUGAUGAUAUCAGAGAUUAUCUCAUGGUGGCUUAUCUGAAUAAUCAGCUCUGGGGUUUCUAAACUGUCUAGAGGGAUUUUUUUGGCAGCUCUGCAAAGCUCUCCGAAAUGUGGUACAAUGCAGCUGAGAGCCGUGCCAGAGGGCUUCGCUCCUUGCUCUGCCGCUCAGCACCCUGCUAAUGGCUAGGUCAGUAUAUAAGAGGCUUUUCUAAACAUUUCAGGAUGCACUGAUGUGUCUUUAGCCCUGGUUCAGGCAAUCACAGACACUCUUUGGAUGCAGGAUUGCAUCUUACUGAGUGCCAGCACUGCCUAACAGCAAGGGAGCCUCUCGGCAAUGCUGCAAAUCAAUAAUGUCUGUAGUUUUUCUCCAAAUUCCCUCGAGCCAAGGGUUUUACCUCUCCCCUGCCUUCAUCUUCAGCAGUCUUCUUCAGUAGUAAUGGGCAUCUGUUACCCACUACCUCGGUGCCAAACAUUUUCAAGUCUGUGUUGGAGGGAUCUUGACUGAAACCGCUACUGUUACUGGUAGCAAGCCGACGAUGAGCAUCUGUGCUACCCAGCAUAGCUCCAGUCUCAAAGGGAGUGUUUGUCAGGCUCCUUUUGGUUUGUAAUGGCUGCUUUUACAGUACAGCAGUCAAUUCAGCAGAUAGCAGUGUAAGCACUGAUGGUGGAUACGGCUGCUCCCCUCUGCUCACCACCGUGGAUAUGCGGAGGGCAAAGUCAGCAGGAUGGUAGCACAAGCUUUAAGUUAAACACAUGCUUAAAUUCCCUCUAGGGUAAGGUUGGGUUUUGUAACCCAGCCUUGCAAUUAGGAAGGAAAAUGCCUGCCAUGGCCACGUGUGCUGGGACAAACCCAUUGCUGCUGUGGCGAUGCCGCCAGGAGGGCUCGGUGCUAUUGCUGCCGCAGCUACGGAAAGGUGAAGAGUCCAGGGAGUGUUUUUUGCCUCAGGCUUAAAUCUGAGUCUGCUUAAAUGCCACUCCAUUUAGUUCUGUUUGGACCAAGUGCAUUUUAAGAAGAAGUUUAAGAAGAAGACUUUCAGAAAAAGUCACCAAGUCUUCCAGUCUGUCCUGCUUUGUAUCACCAGUCAUUUUAUUUUGGCCCAUUUUCCUAGAGAUGACCCAGUAAUGUGCACUGGACUCCAGCAUAUUUCCAGGAAGGCAUCAGUCUCGAUCUUCCUGUGUUUGGUGGGUUUUUUUCUUACUUUUAUCUACAGUAUGUUUCAGUGAGUUAUCACCUUCGCUGUUAAAUUAUUUAUUUUUUUCACUCCUCUAAUUUAAAUGAAUGUCGCUUUAGCUAACAAAUGUACCUUGGUAAAGAGCAUUAAGAAGCUCAGAUAACUACUUUGCAAAGAUUCUCCUUCUGCUGCUGUGUUAAUGAAACUGAAACACUCUUCCUUGCAGUGGUCUGUGUAAGAUAGCUGGACUUUUUACAUUUCAUAAUUAGUUUCUGGAUGAUUAUCUAUUAAUAUUUUCAUGCUUGAUUCCAUGCCCACGUCUGCUUUUGGCCAAGGUCUCUUUUGGCCAUCUUAUUUUGCAUAUUUGGACUAAGCCGUUGAAGAAAAUACUGCCUGUGCUGGAAUCAGGGAGACUGCAUUUGCUGAGCAGACUGGGGUAGCAAUUUGGGAACUUCAAUAAUUAGUCAUUUGUUUCUAGAAUUCUGCUUUGGAUGGCAUGUAAAUGUGAACUAACCUUUAGGAAUCCUCUGCAGCUCUGACACCUAACAUCAAACUUACACUUCGCAACAGGACAGGGAAGCUAUAAUUUAUGAGCUAGUGAAGUAUCUUUAAUUAAACCAGUAUUUUCUAAAUUUUGACUUAAUUUAAUUUUAAUCUAACAGAAAGAAGCAAUCUGAGUCCAACCAAGGUUUUCCUUAAAUACCAUCCUUGUUAUCUGGGAGGCUUUGAAUCAAGUAAGAUAGAUGAUUUUAAUUUCCAUGUUCUCAGUGUAACACUUGGGGUCAAUGUUUGCAUACUUAUCAUAGGCAGUUUACCAUUGACAACCACUGUAAUUGUUCAACUUUUCCUUGGUGAAGAUCUGAUUGACUAUUAUGCACUGUAUUUAUUAUGUCUCACACUAAAAUAUAGAUGAUUGAUUAUUCCAUUAUUCUAUUGACCAAGGCUGUAACAAGGUGUGACAAAUAUAUGCCAUUACAGUCCAUAACCAACUGUGGAAGGUAGUGCAGUCAGGUAGGAGAAUUCUAAUGCGUGCGACUCUCUGGAAAGCUUUAGGAAACUUUCAGGACACUGUAUUUAAAAGACUUUACCUGAAUAAAUGUUCUUCAUUCCUGCUAGGUACUUUCUAAGGAUAAAAAAAAAAGAUAACAGCCCCCAAUCUGAAAAGCUUAGAAUAUGAUUGAGAGCCCACUGGAUCCAAGGGAAUUUCUUCCAGUGAGUUGCUGGGCUUUGGCAGGGUCCUGAGGGUAAUCCCUCUGUUUACUUCACUGGGAGUUGUGUCAGCCCCUGGAAAUAUCACCAUUUGUUAGCUGCAUUAAGAUGUGUGGGGAAAAAAGUGUCUUCUGUCACUGACGUAACACGUUAACGUGAAUUAUGUGCACAUAUAAAGGGGGCUUAUAGUCGGAAAGAGAAAAACCCUGUAUUUUAAAGCUCUUUAUCUGCAGCUUGGUAUUUGAAAUACAUAAUUUAAUUAUCUUUGAACUCCUUUGUUCCUCCUUAAAAUAAAUCACGUUUAAUUUUCCUUCUAAAUAUCAUGCAUUGAUGGACACAGCACUGGGGAUCAUGGUAACAAAAUGGUGUUGAACCAGCUACUGGAAAUUAGGAGUAAUAAACAAUGCAUUUGCUACCAGUCUGUCAUAUUAAUUAGUCUUCAGAAUGUGUCAGUGCUUUUCAUUUGUAUUUAACGUUGCCUGAGCUUACUGCCAAUUAAAUACAAUGUUGUUAUCAAUUCAGCUCGCACGUGAUUACAUUGGAUUAAUGUGGUUAUUUUCUUUGAUCCACUAUAAUUAAAAAUCACAGUUGUGAUUUUAAACAAGUGUAAAAAUAUAAUAAGUUUGCAUUCACAGCUGCCUUUUUCUUCUAAUUUACUUUAAUAACAUUUGCCUCUAAUUAACAAUUGUGGAAGUCCCGGGCCUCAUUUAGCAGCUCAGAGGAGACAACAGCACUUUGCACGUGCCUGGGUGCUGUCCUCGCCCCCUGCCCAGCUGCAGUGGGCAACGUUUUCAAGCCAGGUCUAUGGCAGUUCAGUCCCCAGAUCCUCAAGGAGAACUCAUCAGCCUCAAGCCAAAAGAAAAUACCACCUUAAAACUCAAUACUGUUUCCCAUGAAGCCUGAUGGCUGAGUCUAACUAGCGUCUGCACUGUGCUUAAUUCCCAGGGAGGCUCGACCGCUGCGAGUGCUGCAGCAGGCUGUGCUGUGCAGCCGCCUUGUCCCCACAGGACCUGUCGCCCCAGCAGUUACACAGCCAAGAGGCACACGGAGACAUUGGUUCGUGCAAAAUGGGAGACCAUGACAUGCUGAGAAGACGCGAAUGCCUACAGGCUGAUCUACCCAGUUCUGGGUUUUUGGGCUUUGGCUUUCCACUGAGUCGGAGCUCUUGAUUUUGAGACCUUCCACCCAGAUGAGCAGGGAAACAGAGAGAUGGAUUUUUCAAGAGGCCACCAAGGCUUUUGUUUGGGAGCUUUGCCUCCCAGGUCGCCUAAAGCCACUGAGAAAGUUACCGCCUGAAUAAUUGUCAUCAGCAGUCACUCUGGGGCCACUGCAAAGGUCUUCUGUGCUACAAGAGGCAGAGUCUGCCUGUCCUGCUGCGUGCCCUUCCUUACCAGUUCAGAAAGCAGAUGAAUAAUAACGAAGCAAAGAAUUAAGCCUGAAUGAGUAGAAGUUAGCGAAACAGGAGCCAUGCCUUGCUGGCCCUUAGGUAAGUAAUGUGCAGCGUUCUGCUGAGGCAGGGCUCUCUGUGCACAUAAUAAGUAAUGUUCCAGUGAGAUGAAACCUCAGGCUCCUGAUUCAGCUGGUAUUUCUGGCAAAUUGUUGACCUAUUGCAGUUUGUUCAGGAUUUUUCUAGUCUUGGUAGAGUGGCUCUUAACAGUGACAGAUAUGUCUGGCUGUUUCUAACAAAUAUGCAGCUUUUGUGACUCUAAAAAUUCUAAUACCUUGAAGAACCCCAGAUAAUAAUUGCUCCUGUACUCUGCAGUAGCACUCUGUGUUUAUAAGCAAGGAAAAGAAUUAAUUAAAUAUUAAUUAAUAGGAUUUAAUAUAGCUGGUGCUAUCUUGUGUCAUAGAAUAACUCACAGGGACAAUUUUAAUUUCACCUGACGUACGUAUAUGGAUGAUUUCUCUCCCGGGCUGGAACCGGAGGACAGUGCAGCUGUGCUGCAGGCAGGGAGAAGGGCAGCCCGGCUAAUGAAAGGUGGCUGUGGGGAAAGGGUUCAGUGGAGCCGUUUGCCACAUGGAAAAGAUGUAAAGAGGAAAGCAGGAAAAUGGCCUGCCUUUCUGUUCACCUUGGGAAGGAACAAAUGCAGAAACCAUCUCCUUGCCUGGCUUUGAUGCAGCAGGUUUGAUGGAGAAAAUCCUGCUCUUUUAGAGCCCUUUUCCCUGCUUUAUGGUAGCACAAGCAAAAUUUUAGCCCAAUUUUGUAUCUGUUAAAAUUUAGAGGAAUUUUUGGAGUUCCUGUGAAGCGAACAAAACAUAAGGGCAUUGCUUAUGUCACUACAAAGAGAUGUGUCAAAUGGAGUGACAAAACCAAAUGCUAGCUUGUGCUUCACCACCUAUUAAGCCCAGCAAGAGGCUGUGAUCAAACCCCUUCUCUGAGUGUUGCUAAAAGGCUUUUAUUAGCGGAGCGAUGCAGCCUGUGGGGACCUGUCAUACUGAUGUUUCCCUGACAGGGGUCAGAGAUCAGACAAACUACUACAGCACUGUACAUCCAAGUUGUCUCUCAACAUCCUUUGGCCUCACGUUUCAUGUCACAUUAAGGCUUUUCUCCAAAGUACUUGUGUUUAAGGUGAAUCUCAGGCUGACGCUUGCACAAGCUCGUAGAUGUGCACCAGCAGCUGGUCGUUUGGUGAUUUCAGGGGGCUUGCCAUCGCAGCCCAGAGGUCAGGCAGUGCAUGGCUCACCUUUGGCUGCCAUGGGCUGGAUCUCCAUUGCAGCCCAGCCUGCAUGGGUGAGGAUGCUUGCAGACAGCUGAGGUCUUGGGAAUUGCUAAUGAAACCAACUGCUCUGCCAGCAAACUAUCCCGGGUCCCCCACUGGCUGUGUAAUUAAAAUGGGGACUGUACGGGUGUGAAGUUAAUGCUGUAUACAUAAUGUAUCUGUCCCAAGGUAAGCCUUCGCAUCUGUUCUCUGUAAAACUGUAAGUGCAGGAUAUAAUUAAGCGAGUGAGAAAUAGUUUGAGCUGAACACAGCAUUGUCCACCAGCAGCUCAAACCGCCUCUCCCUGAAGCAGUGCAGUGAGUCUAACCAGCCAGAGUUAGAGCUGGCAUAAAACAAGGCUGGAGGCGCUGGCGGAUAAGAACGUUUGUGGGUUUGGCUUUUUUUCCUUUCCCCCCUUUAUUCUGUCAUCGAGUACAAGGAGAAACUUCAGUCUGUAAAUGCCACCGGAUCUCCAUUUCACACUGACAUUCCCAGGGACAGCAGAACUGCUUGUAAAGUGUCUGUCACCCAACGAAAAUUGGGGAAAAAAAUAUCUUCCAGGCUUCUGCACACCUUCAUCUCUCCUAAAUAAGCUGUCGCUUAACCCUUGCCUGCCCUCCUCCUCCUGCUUCUGCCGGAGCUGAUGGUGAAAUGCUUGAUCUGCUGGGUGUGGGCAGUUCUUGGAGAGCUGCUCACGAGAUAGAAAAGAGGGAGGGGAAAAAACUUUUCCUGGAUUUUUAGGAACAUGCCUGAAAAUGCUUUUAUGUUCGUGACCCAGAAAGGCUCACCCAAAAGAUUUGCAACCACAGCCAAACACUGAACUGCCCAUCCGGGCUUUUCCUCCCACCUCACCUGGUUUUUUAGUUAAAUGUCAGUUUGCUUGUCAGCCCCCGGCUGUGGUUUUGAUGUUAUUUCCUCCCUUCUUUCAGCAGGAUGUCUUUGCUGCAGAAGGACAGAAGUGCCGCGGCGUGACAGCUCCUCUUUCCCAGCCAGGGCUGCGCAUGUGAGCAAGGGGCUCCGGCAGCGGCCGGGCGCACGAGGGAUGGGCAGGCAGACAUCAGACAGACAGGCAUCACAUCUCCUGGCCGGGCUGGUGCCAGGAAAGGAAAGGAGGUGUCAGGGCAUCUGUCAGGCCCCAAAGCAGCAGUUGGCAGAUUUAAAAGUGAAAUGUGCAAACGGGGGAUGUCCGCGCUCCAGUGGCCUCUCCAGGCACCAAGCAGGAGGAUGCCGCACGCAUCCAGGGCGCUGUGCUGGCCCCUCGGCUCCUGUUUGCUCACGGCUUCUCGUGAGUCAAUGGUGUGCAUGUUGUGUAUAAUCUUCGGUGAUGGGCUGCUGAUCUUCUACACUGUUUGUGCCAGCCCAGCCUCGGAGAGCCCCACCUGAGCAGCUUUUCCUUCUGGUGCUCCCGGAGAUAAGUACAAGCUGCUCUGUCUGUCUGUGUAUUUGUGUAUAGGUAUGUCCGUGCAUACGCCUGUGUGUAUAUAUAUAGUGUUGUCUUGGAUCAUUAGAGGUUAUUACCUAAAUCUUUUCACAUUUGUGUCUGCCAGGCAAUAAGCAAGUAUUAUUAAAACAGGGCUGCUUAAAUGAAAGCAGCUGGAGAAUAGUUUUCAUUACAAGGCUGCCAAAUUAUUUGAGCAAUCUCCUCACCUUACCUCAGGCCUACCCAGGGGCUGCAACUCAAAUGCCAGAAACUCAUUUCUGUCGUUUUACUUUUAUUUUUUCAUUCAUUCAUAUGCACAAGUUGAGAUACAUAAAUAUAUAUAUAUGUGUAUUUGUAUACAUAUGUAGACAGACACCAGUUAUACCUAUAUAUAAAGACCUUAAAGAUCUUAAAAAAUGUACAUUCAAAAUAUAUGUAGAAUUAUAACAGUAUAAAUGUACCCAAUGAAUAGCACGAAAAUAUAACAUAUUGUUUUCAUAUAAUUGUGUAUAUUAUAUAAUUAUUAUUAGUAUAUCAUAUAAUUACCGUGAUGAUAAGUAGAUAUGUAUAUAUAGUUAGAUUUAUUCAUUAUAUCCAUUCUAUAUUAUAUGCAUAUAUGCAUAUUCAUAUAAACAAAUAUACACAUAUCUAUAUAUAAAGUCCUUCUAAAGUACCUUCAUAUGGUUAUAUUUAUAUGAGGUCUAUAAUAAAUAUGUUAAAUGUAUAUAUAAUAUUAUAUGUGUAUAUGUAUAUAUAGAAAGGUCUUAUAUAUGUGGGUGUAUAUAUGUGUAAAUACAUACGUCUGUAUGUAUAUAUAUAUAUAUAAAAAUGUUUUUUAAAGGUCUUUAUAGAUACAUACACAACCAGCAUAUAUAUAUAUGCAUAUAGAAAUGCAUAUAUACACAUUUUAUAUAUUAAAAACAGAAUUUCUUUUUCAGCUCUAUAAAGACCUUUAUAUACAACUACCUGAAAUCUGUCUAUGUGUACCUAGUUAACGCAUGUAUUUUGCUGGGAGGGCUGCGGCGCCGGUGCCUGGCACAGCUGUGCUCGGUGGUGGCCACAUCACCUGCCCAAGAGGUCCGGGGGAAGCGGCCGGCCCCCCGUGGGCUCUGCAGCGCCGGUGCUGCUGCUGUUGCCCCCCCUGCCCAGCAAAGCACGGCAAAGUUGUCUGUAGCAUCUCGCUUUCAGCUUGCACCAGAGUAUUUGUAUUUGUUUCCCUGUCCCUUCAUGCUGCCCUGCAGGGAAAGGAUGGGAUCUCUAUCUGCUUGCCCCCAUCCCUGACCAACAUUUCAUCUGUGUUUAGACCUGAUAAACACGAAGUGUGCAGAAGCCUGGCCCGUGGGAGAUGUGCAUGUGCACACAGGCACCUGGGGCUCACUGUCUUGCAACUGUUCAUUUUCCUCUCCUGUUUUAUUGACAGGCCUUGCCUCAACCUACCCCAAAAGUCACUGCAGAGAGUGGCUGAGGCCAGCAUAGAGCCAGAGCCCUGCUCCAGGGCCAGCAGUGACAGUAGGUCUUAGGAGAGGAGACCACGGGUGGAAAGGGUUGCUUUUCUUCUCAGCUGCUGCAUUUGACUGGAAACCUCUGUUCAGUGUUUUUAGUACAGGUACUUACUAAUGGUUUGCUUAUGAUCUGCAGCCUGGUUUAUGCCAGGAGAGGUCUGGGAUUCCAGCGUUCCCUUCCCUUCUGGUUAUGGGGCUCAGGGGGGCUUGUGAGCGCUGCUGGAGGAGGCUGAGGAUGCGGGCGGUACCUGGAAAACUCAGUUUAGCUGGGGCACAAACAUCUGUGCAGGCUUAAGGCGGUGCCGAGUUUCUGCCUUGCGUGCAGUUAGCUGAAGUUGUUGUGUUUGUUCGUGCUCCCUGGAAAGACUUUUAAUAUUUUUUUUCCCCCCCAUUUUAUUUUAUAUCCCUGGCUUGAAAUUUAUAAAGCGCUUGAUCACCCAAGGAGCUGUGCCACUCUACCAUCUGCAUCGUUGCACAGCGAGCAGGCAGGGACAGGCCACCUGCUUCAGAUCUGGAAAGUGCUUCUCAGUUUAAGGGGAAAAAAACUUUUAGGAAGGAGUUGGAGGCAGAAUUGGAUGAAAAAAUGUCUUCUUAGAAAGACCAAGAAUUAGCAGAAUCUGAGUGGCGCGAAGACGGAAGCCCUUGUAACAAAGCAAGGUCAGGAAAGGAAGGGAUGAAGGGAGACUUGCUUAGGCAGACCUACAAACGAUUAUUCAAAUGCACAACUUCUACAACCACAGGGCAAGAGGAGACUGGAGCGCUGCUGGCUCCUAGCACAGGGCAGGAGUGUGGGGGCAAGCAUCAUGUUUUGUACUGUCUUCCUCAAAGCGGGAGCAAUGCCUGGCUUUUGGUUGAGAAGGAAGAUUUGGAGCAUGGGCUUAAAGGCAACAUGGCAAAGGGACUGAAUGCAAAACAGGAGGUUAAGAAGGGUAUGCAGAAACAAAAUUCCAAAUCCAACAGCCCACAGUGAGUUAGGUUUUAUGACACUCAAUUACCCAGUGGGAACUUGCAACAGGUUGGGUUUUUUAGGUAUUUACAUACUUUUUGGGUUUUUUUAGGCACCGAGGGAGCAGGCUUGGGUGCCCAACAGCAGAAAGUGGGCAGUCUCUGUCCUGAACUUUGGAAGGAUCUGGCCCAUGGACCCACAGCAUGGGUGUUUGCUGAUGGUACCUGGUGAGGACGGCACAAACUCACAAGGAGCUUCAGAACAUUUUAGCGAAAGGACCUGGAAGACUGGCUGCCAAGCACCCGGCACUGCUGGUGCUCAGCUCACCCCCAGUGUGCCCAGGGAAGGGACACACAGGAGAUGGAUCUGGCCAGCCCCUUGCCUUCUACCUACAUGGAAACCAGUGGCUGUCAGUGGGCCAUGAAACCUUCCUCGUUCCAGCAGCAGGGAAAGGAAAACUCCCAGCAGUUUGAGGGAUUCAUGCAGAGACACAAAGCAAACCCACAUCGGAGACCUGGGAAAUUCCUGCUCUCCUCCAGCGUGUCAGUUUGCCUUGAAAGAUUUCCUUUCACAGCACUUGUUAUUUGCCACCUGCCAUAAGGACAGGGUCUGCAACCAGCCCAGCCUCCUCCCUAUGUUUCAGCUCUGAGCAACGCUAGAGGACACAGCGAGGAUGUCUGCGCUUUCCAGCCAAAGCAAUGAUCACCCAUGACCGAGAAACACAUGUCCAAAAGGAAGGGGAAAGCCCAGGGGGACACACCUGGAGGCAACCCAGAACCAAGAGGAGCAGCUGAAGGCAGGCCAGUGACUCUUGCUGCUUGGCCCCUUGUCUCUGCAGCGCUGCUGGUCAGGUUUAUCUCAAGGCCAUUCCAGCACCUACCAUCUCCCCAUGAACAGACAUGGUUGCCAGCUCCUAGACGCCUAAACAGCACAUUUUAGCUGCUCAAGGAGAGGAAUAACUUCACGAAACUCCAAAUAAGUGGUAAGUGGCAGCAAAAAGUGCAGGUCCAAGGGCAACUUGCCCAGGAACCCAGCUGGAGAAGUGCCAGCGGGUUGGUGCCCAUUCUGCAGCGAGACUCCUUACCCUGGGGGCCAGGAGGAGGUCACCAACAGAUCAAACACAGCAUCCAAUUACUUUCCCACUUUAAGUUAAAUUUUUAUUUUCUUGGAGUCACUUUCAAAAAAACAGGGUUGGGAGGAAAAAGGGUGGAGUGCAGGGGAGAGCAGAAGAGGGUGCUUGAGGGAACAGUGGAGAAAAUGUUCACCCUGACAUGCCAAGCCAAAAGUACCCCCUGCCCCACCAAAUCUUUUUUUUUUUUUUCCCCCCCUUUUGUCAAGAAGGAAAAUUGUAUUUUCCAGCCAGCUCUAUUCAUGAGUGAUUGUGCAGAGCUCUGCUAAUGGGCUAUGCCAAGCUGUGGUCACCCUACAGAGCUAUUGGCAGGAGAGGUGGCAAGUUGGAGAGGACUACAAGGGAACUCUGCAUGAUAUUUUUUGAUGAGCUGAUUAUUCAGAAAUUUCACAAGAGCUGAAAUACAUCACUCUGUUCUGAAACUCACAGCCCUGCCAACACACAGGACAGCUUACAUGAGCAGCAGCGUUUUCUCCUUCACAGUGCUGCUGGCCUGUGCAUUAGCAACCAGAUGCAGGAAUCGGACAAGACUUUUCAGCAGCCAUCGACAGCAGUGACAGCGAGAGAUGGAAAGUGGGUAGAAGGACACAGAAAGCUGAGAUAGAAAUGAUUUAGGUACUUUCACAGCUGUCACUAUGUGAGUAUUUGGGCUUGAAAGUUUUUCAUUAGCUCCAUGGGUACUAGGACAUAAUAAUUUUUAUUGCUUUACAGCUAGGAUGUGAGAUCACCCCCAGAUCCCACAUGUAUUCAAGUAUUCUUAUUUCAGGGGUUGCUCAGUCCCCAGUCACAUUUCAGGGUGCUAUCACAAGCCAGGAGCUGACCUUGACUCUCCCCGUCGCAGCCAGGAGCCUCUGUCUUAGGCAUUGUCCUGAGUCUGCAACCAAGUCAGGCUCCCACAGAGAAUAAACAAUCAUUUUCCCCUCUCUGCACCACUAAUUAUAAACAAAACACGGUGUUAGUUGAGCACAGGAUCAAAUGAGAGCAUGAUACCUGGGGGGGUUGGGCGCGUGUGUACUGGAGUGGGUUAGAAGCAGCACGGAGCUGAUUUUGGAAAUACUGCACAAAGACUCCAAGGAGCUGAUGGGGCAUGUCCCCAGACCAUUGAUCUGUCAACACACAAGCCCCUUUGAGCUACCUGGAGUGGCACCGACUGUCCCCUGGAGGAGCAGAGGCUGAAGCAAGACUGGUGCUGGAUGGCAAUUAAAAAACACCCUCCUGCUGUACUCACCACCUUUGUUGUAAGCACUGUAGAAUCCCUGCCUGCCUUAGUGCAAGCAGAUUUGCUGUAGGUCAACUAGACUGUCUAAAGCUCUCUUUGUGCACCAAGAACCAUAAUUGUGGUCCAGGCGAGCAUACUAGAAAGCCAAGUAGAGUCAUCCAGAACUGGGUGCCUGCGACCUUGCACAGCAUUGGCCCACGCUGCUGCCACGCCAAAGCCUUCAGGGACCAUUCCUAAUGGGUUUGCCCAGCCCUAAAAAUGUACAUGCAUGAACCGAUGGCUGCCAGGUAGCCUUCUCUCGGGACCGGGUACCCGGGCUGCCUGGCAGGGCAGGGACCGGGUGCACUGGCUGAUUGUGUGCUCCCAAUAACCCGGCCAUUCUCCUACCCGCAGGACUAACCAUGCCCAGGACAGCUCUUCUGCAAUUUCUGUUUCAAGGCAGGCAGGGGAACAGGGCACGUGGAGCCACAUCCUGCUCCCAGCCUGGUCCUACAAAAGUGAAUGAAGAGCACUGUAGCGGAACCGCAGCUGGUUUACUAAUGAAAAUAGAGGCACACAGCCACAGGCACUGCACCCCCUUGGAGGAAAUGCUCACUUCAGCAAAACAAACUUUUGGCAAUGAAAAAAGUCUGGGAGUCUUGCUUCUGUAUAAGAACAGGGAAGAAGAAUCCGAGCCGUGUAACAGCAACCACAGUUAGCUCUGUCCUGUUACGAAGCCACCCCAUUGGGACCACUCCACUUGCACCACAUCCAUCUAAGCCCCUGCAUGUGCGAUUUUUCUCCUGUUUUCUGCUUUUGGUGGAGGAGCUCAGCACUCUGAGGCAUCCCCCAGCCCAAAGGCAAGCCCUGGGCCUGACCAUAGCAAAGGCAAUUAUUUAAGGUUUUAAAGGACAAAGUUGGUUACAAAGACCAUCAAUGCCUUCAGCACAGCAUAUCCUCACAUUUCCAGCAACUGCAUCUUUGUAUGCAGCACCCUGCCUGUGGAAAAUUAAGUCUAUAGGAAGCGUAUUAAUGAUCCAGACACCAUCCUCGAGACUCAAGUCUUAUAAAAAGGGAGGGUUUACGCCACAUACUGCUGCAGGAUGUCAUGUACUUCAUGAUCUGCCUUUUCUAAUCUCGCCUUAUCUCUCACCCCAAUCCUUUCUCAUGUCCCUCAUCUAUUGCAAAUCCCCUUUUUAAGCUGGAGUGAAGCACAUAAAUAUUUUCAUGCUGCAUAAAUAGGUUGUUUUGUGCAUAAUGCCACAGGCGGCUUUUUUUU